rnacentral:tRNA from 1 species
GUGGGCGUAGCUCAAUGGCAGAGCACCGGACUGUGGAUCCGGUUGUUAGGGGUUCAAAUCCCCUCGUCCACC